CUCUGGACAUCUUGCCCUUUAUUUACUGAAAAGAAGACAACAUCUUUUCUCAGGGCUGAAACCCCUAUUGCAGUUCCAACACGUGUCUAUUUAUCAGGAGAAAAGCUGAAUAUUUCCACUAUCACAAGAUUAUUGCCAGUGCUCGGAUUUUUCCCUAACCUCCAGCUAAAAUCCUCUGAGCUAACGCUCUGAAAAUGGAACGGCAUACCAAAUCUGCGCUCUGGCUCUCAGAGGUGGAGGCCCACCCUUUCUCCCAAUAAACAAUUUUGCAUACGUUUAAACCUCCCUCCUCUGGUUUCCCAACUCCUCCUGCCUGACCCCCCCAGCAAAGAAAUUACGGAAAUCUGUCAUUUCUCUCUUUUCCCUCGCACCUCCAUCUAUCAGUGUUUCGAAGGCAGUCUCCUCAAAUGCAGAGCAGAGCAGGAGAUGGGCAGCGGUAAUGGGAAUGUGCUCCUGACUGUGCAAACCCACACAGAGAGUGAGGACAGGAGAGACUGCAUUUGCAUACAUAUUAAACGAGAGCAGUAAAAAAUGCAGACGUGCAAACCAUUUGGACAUGGCUCGCCUCGGCAAUGUGCCCUGCAAGGGAAUCAAUCUUCUGCAUUCUUAAAGGGAAAAACCUGUUACGGAGCGAAAAGCAAAGCCAGAAAGACGUCCGCUUACAAACACGGUCAAGGUUUGAAGACGAUCUGACCUUCUGCCUUUGCCAACCACGACCUGCUGUGCAAAGGUACACAUAGGAGGGUGAGACCUGGCAUGAACCAACUGCUGUCACUGGUGAGAGAUCUCCCAGGACCCCAUCCUGAGUGGGAACUGGAGCAAGAGUUCCAAGCUCCACGUGCCCACCUGUGAGGGCAACGCAGAGACCUUCCUGAGAUGGCCCAAGCCAGGCUGCAGGGAAGAACUAAGUGACAUCUGGAUAUGCUGAAGAAGCCCAAACCCUGUGUCCCAGUGCCUUCACCUACUGAAAACAGAGAGACGCAUGGGAGGGACUCAGCGCGAGGAGAGUUGAGCCUCGCACCUGAAACACCACCACUUGAUCCUUCACCAACCAACAGCCCGGCAGAAAGACUUCAGGUUUUAUCCCAGGUCACUGCUGGAGCACGGAGAUGUCUUCUACAUCAGAUGUUUGGGGCUCAGACACCC
ensembl:lncRNA